rnacentral:rRNA from 1 species
GAUCAACGCUGGCGGCGUGCCUAAUGCAUGCAAGUCGAGCGGGGUGAUUUUCGGAUCACUUACGCGGCGGACGGGUGCGGAACACGUGGGCAACCUGCCCCGAGGUGGGGGAUAGCCGGUGGAAACACCGGGUAAUUCCGCAUACGGUCGGUGAUCGGAGGAUCACCGAGGAAAGGGUCUUCGGACUCGCCUUGGGAGGGGCCUGCGGCCGAUUAGCUAGACGGUGGGGUAACGGCCUACCGUGGCGAUGAUCGGUAGCUGGUCUGAGAGGACGGCCAGCCACACGGGGACUGAGACACGGCCCCGACUCCUACGGGAGGCAGCAGCAAGGAAUCUUCCGCAAUGGGCGAAAGCCUGACGGAGCAACGCCGCGUGUGGGAUGACGCCUUUCGGGGUGUAAACCACUUUUCUCAGGGAAGAAUUCUGACGGUACCUGAGGAAUAAGGACCGGCUAACUACGUGCCAGCCGCCGCCGUAACAC